rnacentral:lncRNA from 1 species
CUUUCUGAGCAUGGGGCUGAGAACCAGCAGUCUAGCCUGAGAUGCUUUCCAAUGUCAAAAGAGGCAGAAAGCUCCCUAAUGGUACCUGGGCCCACGACCUGGUGACUCCACCUACCGCCUCUUUGCUACUGCUGCUCACAGAGCCUGCCAUGCCAUCUGUGGUCUCUCAUUCCCACAUUUUCUCAAACCUGUCACUUUCCAUUUUGGGACUUGGAC